GAUGAAGAACGUAGUGAAAUGCGAUAAGUAAUGUGAAUUGCAGAAUUCAGUGAAUCAUCGAAUCUUUGAACGCACAUUGCGCCCGCCAGUAUUCUGGCGGGCAUGCCUGUUCGAGCGUCAUUUCAACCAUCAAGCCCCCGGCUUGUGUUGGGGACCUGCGGCUGCCGCAGGCCCUGAAAAGCAGUGGCGGGCUCGCUGUCACACCGAGCGUAGUAGCAUACAUCUCGCUCUGGGCGUGCUGCGGGUUCCGGCCGUUAAACCACCUUCAUAACCCCAGGUUGACCUCGGAUCAGGUAGGAAGACCCGCUGAACUUAAGCAUAUCAAUAAGCGGAGGA
rnacentral:misc_RNA from 1 species